rnacentral:rRNA from 1 species
UCCCAGACUCCUACGGGAGGCAGCAGUAGGGAAUCUUUCACAAUGGGCGAAAGCCUGAUGGAGCAACGCCGCGUGCAGGAUGAAGGCCUUCGGGUUGUAAACUGCUUUUAUAAGCGAGAAAUAUGAUGGUAACUUAUGAAUAAGGAUCGGCUAACUACGUGCCAGCAGCCGCGGUAAUACGUAGGGGGCAAGCGUUAUCCGGAAUGACUGGGCGUAAAGGGUGCGUAGGUGGUUUGGCAAGUUAGUAGCGUAAUUCCGGGGCUCAACUUCGGAACUACUACUAAAACUGCUGGGCUUGAGUGCAGGAGGGGCAUAUGGAAUUCCUAGUGUAGCGGUGGAAUGCGUAGAUAUUAGGAGGAACACCAGUGGCGAAGGCGAUAUGCUGGACUGUAACUGACACUGAGGCACGAAAGCGUGGGGAGCAAACAGGAUUAGAUACCCUGGUA